CACGUAGGGCGCAAGCGUUGUCCGGAAUUAUUGGGCGUAAAGAGCUCGUAGGCGGUCUGUUGCGUCUGCUGUGAAAACUCGGGGCUUAACCCCGAGCCUGCAGUGGAUACGGGCAGACUAGAGGUAGGUAGGGGAGAAUGGAAUUCCCGGUGUAGCGGUGAAAUGCGCAGAUAUCAGGAGGAACACCGAUGGCGAAGGCAGGUCUCUGGGCUAUAACUGACGCUCAUGCACGAAAGCGUGGGGAGCAAACAGG
rnacentral:rRNA from 1 species